rnacentral:rRNA from 1 species
UACGAAGGGGGCUAGCGUUGCUCGGAAUCAUUGGGCGUAAAGCGCACGUAGGCGGUUCGUUAUGUCGGAUGUGAAAGCCCUUGGCUUAACCGAGGAAGUGCAUCCGAAACUGGCGAGCUAGAGUACUAAAGAGGAUCGCGGAAUUCCCGGUGUAGAGGUGAAAUUCGUAGAUAUUGGGAGGAACACCGGUGGCGAAGGCGGCUCUCUGGGACGGUACUGACGCUGAGGAGCGAAAGCGUGGGGAGCGAACAGG